UACGAAGGGUGCAAGCGUUAAUCGGAAUUACUGGGCGUAAAGGGUGCGUAGGCGGUUGUUUAAGUCUGUCGUGAAAUCCCCGGGCUCAACCUGGGAAUGGCGAUGGAUACUGGGCAGCUAGAGUGUGUCAGAGGAUGGUGGAAUUCCCGGUGUAGCGGUGAAAUGCGUAGAGAUCGGGAGGAACACCAGUGGCGAAGGCGGGUCUCUGGGCAAUUCCUGACGCUGAGGCGCGAAAGCGUGGGGAGCAAACGGG
rnacentral:rRNA from 1 species